rnacentral:rRNA from 1 species
UGGCGGACGGGUGAGUAAUGCCUAGGAAUCUGCCUGGUAGUGGGGGACAACGUUUCGAAAGGAACGCUAAUACCGCAUACGUCCUACGGGAGAAAGUGGGGAUCUUCGGACCUCACGCUAUCAGAUGAGCCUAGGUCGGAUUAGCUAGUUGGUGGGUAACGGCUCACCAAGGCGACGAUCCGUAACUGGUCUGAGAGGAUGAUCAGUCACACUGGAACUGAGACACGGUCAAG